rnacentral:rRNA from 1 species
UACGGGGGGGGCAAGCGUUGUUCGGAAUUACUGGGCGUAAAGGGCUCGUAGGCGGCCAACUAAGUCAGACGUGAAAUCCCCAGGCUCAACCUGGGAACUGCGUCUGAUACUGGUUGGCUUGAAUCCGGGAGAGGGAUGCAGAAUUCCAGGUGUAGCGGUGAAAUGCGUAGAUAUCUGGAGGAACACCGGUGGCGAAGGCGGGUCUCUGGGCCGAUACUGACGCUGAGGAGCGAAAGCGUGGGGAACGAACAGG